CCACGAUCGAAGCAAGAGAGAAGGAAAAGGAAAGGUUUAAGGAAUGAGUCCUGGGCAUAAAAGAUGACUAUGACUGAAAGUUGCAUCGUGGAGCACCUGUUGUUGCCGAGGCAGUCUAUCAGUUGCUUCCAAGCAAUCUUCCUCAAAGAAUGCUGCAGUCCCUCUUAUGGAUCAUUAACUGGAAAUGAACGUGGGACCUGUGGGUGUAAACACACCGCCUGCUGCCAGGAGACCCAGCAGCCCAACACCUUUAGAUGACAGUAAUGGUGGAUUCUGCUGAACGUGGUCCAGUGUGGUGACCUAUCCUUGGACUUCAACAGGCUGGUCCAGGACAGGAGAGCAUAAGCAACUCACGCAAGCUGGAAAGCCUUUACCAAUCAUUCCCAAACACAGAAAUAUGUGCCUGCAACGUGGCGCUUUUUAGAACAGCAUCCUCUCAGAUGGUGGAGAAUCCAUCACAGCCUGGGCACAUACCAGAUAGAGGAGGCUGGAGGCACAAAUGAGGCCGUGGGGAGCUGCCCCGAGGGGAUAUUUGGGAAAAGCCUGUUUCCACGUGGGAGAUGACUUGGAUCCCAGCACCCGCUGCCUCCCUUCUCCUGGCUGGCAAGACUUUGGAAGGGGUGAGUAACAGCGGCAAAACUUCAUGUGGUGAAGCAGAUUUCAGGGCUGCACAGAUGCCUGGCUUGUUCCAGUGCUGGGGAGGUGGCACCACGCCAUGUCCCGGGGCCUGGUGGGGUGCUGGAGAUGGUCCAGGCUUCCCAUGCAUGGAGGGAACAGCGCUGUGUCCUUGGGCAACCCUACAAUAACCCAGCGGUGGUUAUUGUGUGAUGCAGGGCUGGCUGCAUUGCACAUCAUGGCCCUGCCCAGGAAUUGCAGGGAGGGUGGGAGCCUUAUGGACCCCGCUGGGUUUGGGGAAUAAGAGGCAUCUAAGGUUUCAAGCUGUAGAAGACAAACCCACCUCUCUCUCCUCAAGUAUCCUGGCUUAGAGAACCACAAGGUGUUUAAAAUCAUCUCCUGAGCUAGUUUCUCAGAUGCUGGCAUUCGGGUGAGUGGCCAGACUUCAGUCCCUGGGGACACGUAGAGCCUGGAAGGACGUGCUGGCACCUCUGAGGACCCCAACACUCUCUGAGUCUUGGCCAUUGGGAUCCGUCUUGUAUUUUUUCCCAGUAGAGUGGGACGAUACGGGUCUGUAUGAGGCAGAGUUGUCAGGCAUAUUUGUAAGGAUGCUCUCAAGCAGUAAUUCUUCCCUCUCUGAAAAAUAACGGGACUUGAUAAGGCACCGUUGACUGGGGGGGUCCUGGGGCUGUGCUCGUCUUUUGGUUCUGUGUUGGGAGGAGGUAGCAGCUGAGUCGGGUGUUUCCUCGCACCAGCUCUGUGCUCGCUACAGGGUAAGUGAAGUCAAUGACUUGCCGUGGUUUUUAUUUUGGGAGCUGGGAAGUGUAAGUACAGUGGGACCUAUUCUUGUCCGAAUGACUAAGCCUCUGCCAGCCCGGAGCUCUUCAUCUUGGCAAACAGAUGGUGCGUGGAGGAAAAGUGAUGCUAUUCACUGCGCUGAAAGGCCUUUUCUUUCUGGAGCGGUGCCUUAAAGCUACAAUGGUUUGGUUUGUCAGGCUGAGCAGUACCGGGCCUUCAGGUGCCUUUCGGGGAGUGACAAAAAUAGGACAGAGUCACAACCAGGUCCUGCCUCCAGGGGCUGGGAGGGACAUAUCCUCUGCUGGUGUUAAGUUGGACACACAUGGAUAUGGAGAGCUUGGCCAUGGGGCAAAGCAGCAGGGCUUGGAGAGCUCAGCUGUGGGGCAGAACAGCAGGGCUAGGAGAUCCUGGCCAUGGGGCAGAGCAGAGGGGCUUGGGGAUCCUUUGGGACAUGCUAAGGAGCAUCAUUUCUUGGUCCAAGGGGGAGCCUCCAUCUCUAGAGUCACUCCAAGCCCUGUGUGCCCCAGAGCUCAGUGAGAUGCUCGUUCUUGGUGUGCUCAUUCUUCAGCCACAGUUGCAGAGAAAUUCAGGAGAGAGUGGAGAAUAUCACCCCUGAGAGCAUCCCCUCCCCUGCUCCUCUCCCUCCAGCCCUCAUGCUCCCCCCCGACUCCUAUUUCCUCUGCAUCUCCUCUUAUGACUCCAAAAAUAGGCUGGUUGUGCCACUGUGACACACGUACCUGCAAUGGGUAGGUCACAGGUAGAGAAACGGGCAUUAGAAUCCCUGGGAGAGGGUCCUGUCAAUCUGUGGUUUCUGCUUUGUUGGCAGAUAAUUGCAGCGUGGAGAGAAAAAGUAUUUGCUAAAAGCAGGAACUUAAUGGGGUUUAUAAAGGAUGCUUUGUCCAGGCAGCUACUGGAGUUAAUAAAACUCAGCUUGGGCUCCAUAAAGGUCUGUAAAGCUUAAAGUCUUGAGUUCUGCUGAGCGUUGCCAGGCUGGGAGUUUGGGGCUGGCAUUCGUGAUUACUCUCCAGUGGGGAUGCAGAGGGUAACGAGGACUCGGGGUGGUGUGGGAGCAGCUCCUGCGCAUCCUGGGUCACGCGAACGUCGGAGCCAAGGAGGCACCACGGUCCUGGUGUGCCAGCUGAGGGGGCUGGCUGCUG